rnacentral:ribozyme from 14 species
UUCUUCCUUCCUUCCUUUCUUUCUUUGUUUGUUUGUUUCUUUCUUUCUUUGUUUGUGUUCCAAAAAA